rnacentral:rRNA from 1 species
AUUGAACGCUGGCGGCAGGCUUAACACAUGCAAGUCGAGCGAGCGGCGGACGGGUGAGUAAUGUAUGGGGAUCUGCCCGAUAGAGGGGGAUAACUACUGGAAACGGUAGCUAAUACCGCAUACUAUCAGAUGAACCCAUAUGGGAUUAGCUAGUAGGUGGGGUAAAGGCUCACCUAGGCGACGAUCCCUAGCUGGUCUGAGAGGAUGAUCAGCCACACUGGAACUGAGACACGGCCCAGACUCCUACGGGAGGCAGCAGUAGGGAAUCUUGCGCAAUGGGCGAAAGCCUGACGCAGCCACGCCGCGUGUGUGAUGAAGGCCUUAGGGUCGUAAAGUUCUUUCAUCAGGGAGGCGUUACCCGAAGAAGAAGCAACGGCUAACUCCGUGCCAGCAGCCGCGGUAAUAC